CCGCGCGCGCCCCGCGUGGCGCGGCGUGCCCCGCCGCGCGUCGGGACCGGGGUCCGGUGCGGAGAGCCCCUCGUCCCGGGAAACGGGGCGCGGCCGGAAAGGGGGCCGCCCCCUCGCCCGUCACGCAACGCACGUUCGUGGGGAACCUGGUGCUAAACCAUUCGUAGACGACCUGCUUCUGGGUCGGGGUUUCGUACGUAGCAGAGCAGCUCCCUCGCUGCGAUCUAUUGAAAGUCAGCCCUCGACACAAGGGUUUGUCCGGGCGCGCGCGCGCCCUUGCGCCUCCUUCCCUCCUUCCCUCCUGGUGGAUCCGGUCGACCAGCUGUCCCCGCGGUCCCCGCGGUCCCGCGGCGGCCGCUCGACCAGCACCCCCGCGGUCCCACGGUCCCGGGUCGACCAGCACCCCGUUGGCGCCGCCUCGCCUCGGCGACUACCCGGGCGGCGGAGGCCGGGCCUCUCGCCCUCUCGCGGUGCGACCAGCCGACCUGGUCUCCCGCCCCGCCCCGCCCGCUUCCGCCAGCCACACGGCGCGCCCGUGUCUCCGCCCCUCCGCGGGUCGACCAGCAAGCCGUUCCCUCGCGCCCGCCUCCAUUCCCCGUGCGGGGGACUUGAGUGGUUUGUGCCACCGCCACCGGUGUUUCAUACCCAGCGAUUCCCCCGGUCUCGCCCUUGAUCCUCCUUUAUGGAUCUAUUCGUGACAGACGCAAAGACAGGCAGACACUUCGGCACGGGGAGAAAGGCGCUCGAGCGCCGAGCCCCCAUGCGUCGCCGCCAGUUUGCCUUUUUCUUUUUUCUCCCUUUUUUUUUUUUCUGGAAGGUUUGUUUGUAUGUAUGUAUGUAUGUAUGUAUGUAUGUAUGUAUGUCUUUACUUAUUUCCUUAUUUGCUUACGUAUUUAUGUAUGUAUUUAUGUACGUACUUCUUUAUUCUUUUAUUUCUUCAUUCAUUUAUUCAUUUAUUCAUUUAUUCAUUCGUUUAUCUAUUUAUUUAUCUUUCAUGUAUUUAUGUAUUUAUGUAUGUAUGUAUGUAUGUAUGUAUGUAUGUAUGUAUGUAUGUAUUUAUUUAUUUAUUUAUUUAUUUAUUUAUUAUUUAUCAGAGACGGAGAGACGGAGAAGCAGGUUCCAUCCAGAGCGCCUGACCUGGGACUGUGAGCCCGCGUCUCCAGAGCCACGCCCUGGGCUGAAGGCGGAGCUCGACCCCCGAGCGGCCGGGCCGUUGCCCCUAGUUUCUCUUUUUUUUCCUUCUCUUUUUUUGGAAGGUUUGUUUGUAUGUAUGUGCAUUUAUGUAUGUAUGUAUGUACGUACGUACUUACUUGCUUACUUACUAUUUAUUCAUUUUCUUUUCUUUCUUUCUUUCUUUCUUUCUUUCUUUCUUUCUUUCUUUCUUUCUUUCAUCAGACACAGACGGAGACGGAGAAGCAGGCUCCAUCCAGAGCGCCUGACCUGGGACUCUGAGCCCGCGUCUCCAGGACCACGCCCUGGGCUGAAGGCGGAGCUCGACCCCCGAGCGGCCGGGCCGUUGCCGCAAGUUUACCUUUUUUUUCCUUCUCUUUUUUUGGAAGGUUUGUUUGUGUCCUUGCGUGGAGCCUGCUUCUUCUCCCUCUGCCUAGGUCUCUGCCCCUUCCUCUCUCCUCUCUCCUCUCUCUCUCUCUCUCUCUCUCUCUCUCUCUCUCUCUCUCUCUCUCCCUCCCUACGUUCGGACUUCUAGGUCACCCAUCAGAAAGAUGCCUCGUGGGAUGGGACCCAAGAGGUGGUCCAGAGAAAUAAGGACCCGAUCUCCCCCCCCCCCAACCCCCCGGCACUUCCCUUGAGUCCAAAUCAUGAAGAAAGACGGGGAAAGCAGGCCAGGCAGGCGGACCCCGGAAAUCCCAAGUCCACACGCACGCACGAGCACCAGAACUGAUGCCCAACCCACUCCACCUCUUUCAGAGGGCUGAGAGGGAGGCAACCACGGACAAAGCCUGUUUCCAGGACGAAACCGAGAUGAAGGAACAGGCGGAGGUGGAGGCGGAAGGCUGGAAGGUUGACGGAUAAGAGAAAGGAAAAGAGGGACGGACGCCUGGGUGGCUCAGUGGUUGGGCGGCUGCCUUCCUCUCGGGGCUGGAUGCGGGGCGGGGGUUGGGGAGGUGGAAGGGGUACCCUGGGCUCGUGUGCCCGCAUCGGGUUCCCUGCGGGGAGCCUGCUUCUCCCUCUGCCUGUGUCUCUGCCUCUCUCUCUCUCUGUGACUAUCAUAAAUAAAUAAAAAUUUUAAAAAAAAAAAAAGAACGAG
rnacentral:lncRNA from 12 species